rnacentral:rRNA from 1 species
GAUGAACGCUGACAGAAUGCUUAACACAUGCAAGUCUUUGGCGAAUCUGUGCUUGCACCGGCUAGCCAAGGCGGACGGGUGAGUAACGCGUAAAGAACUUGCCCUGCAGACAGGGAUAACAGACGGAAACGACUGAUAACACCUGAUACAGUUGCCGGCACGCAUGUGCCUGGCAAUGAAAAGAGAUGCUGCAGGAGAGCUUUGCGUCCUAUUAGCUUGUUGGUGAGGUGACGGCUCACCAAGGCGAUGAUAGGUAGCCGGCCUGAGAGGGUGAACGGCCGCAAGGGGACUAAGGUACGGCACUUACUCCUACGGGAGGCAGCAGUGGGGAAUAUUGGACAAUGGGGGCAACCAUGAUCCAGCAAUUCUGUGUGCACGAAGAAGGUUUUCGGAGUGUAAAGUGCUUUCAGCAGGGAAGAAGAAAGUGACGGUACCUGCAGAAGAAGCGACGGCUAAAUACGUG